rnacentral:ncRNA from 1 species
CGCUGCCCCGGCGAUGGAGCUCGCCGUUGCCCUCAGGCAAGGUCCCGGGAUCCGGGUGAUGGCUCCUACCAGCAC